UACGUGGGGGGCAAGCGUUGUUCGGAAUUACUGGGCGUAAAGGGCUCGUAGGUGGCCAACUAAGUCAGACGUGAAAUCCCUCGGCUUAACCGGGGAACUGCGUCUGAUACUGGAUGGCUUGAGUUUGGGAGAGGGAUGCGGAAUUCCAGGUGUAGCGGUGAAAUGCGUAGAUAUCUGGAGGAACACCGGUGGCGAAGGCGGCAUCCUGGACCAACACUGACACUGAGGAGCGAAAGCCAGGGGAGCAAACAGG
rnacentral:rRNA from 1 species